rnacentral:rRNA from 1 species
CAGUAGCCGCGGUAAUACGUAGGGUGCAAGCGUUAAUCGGAAUUACUGGGCGUAAAGCGUGCGUAGGCGGCUUCUUAAGUCGGAUGUGAAAUCCCUGAGCUUAACUUAGGAAUUGCAUUCGAUACUGGGAAGCUAGAGUAUGGGAGAGGAUGGUAGAAUUCCAGGUGUAGCGGUGAAAUGCGUAGAGAUCUGGAGGAAUACCGAUGGCGAAGGCAGCCAUCUGGCCUAAUACUGACGCUGAGGUACGAAAGCAUGGGGAGCAAACAGGAUUAGAGACCCGUGUAGUCCCUGUCUCUUAUAC